AAAAAAUUGUUAUUGAAUCUAAGAAAUAAUUCCUUCCCUCCACCUUUCCACUCCCAGUAUAACCUCACGUUGCAUCUAAACCAUCUGUUCCAGCAGUGAAAUUGCAGGAUUUGGCAAAAUAUAUUCUCAACCCAUCACCUCUGGUCUACAAAGACACCUCCAUUUUUUAAAUGCUCAACGCAUUUUUGGUCAACAUUAUAUAUUUUGGCAUUUAAUACAACAAUCAUAGGCAGCUUCAGAAUUCAACUUCAACAAUAAGGAAAGAAAUGAAAAUUAAAAUGUUAAUGCAAUAACUAUCAAGUUGACAAGCUAAAAAGACAACAAUAAUAUUUGUAGCAAGCAGGAAAAAAAACACACUGUAUGAAAGUGUGAUUGUUACACACUUUUCAAGACAACCUGAGAGUUCAAGUCAAAAGCCUUAAAAUGUGCAUGGCUUUUUGACACAGAAAGUCCUUAGGCUAAAUUCUAAAAAAUUAUCUAAGACUGAGACAAAGAUUGAUCUGCAAAAAUAUUCAUCACAAUAUUGGUUAUAACAGCAAAAGUUGGAGGGGGGUGAUAUCCUAAAAGUUUAGCCAUGUAAUUGGGUAGAAUUAUAGUAAAUCCCAAAGACAGAAUACUUGACAACCAUUACAAUUACUAUAUAGGAGAAUGUUUAAUAACACAGAAAAUAUUAUUCAUAUAGUUUUGUAAAAAACAGAUUCUUAGCAUAAUCCAGUUUGGAGGCUAGACAACCUAUACACCACCUUGUCUGCAGUGAUCUGUACACCACCUUGUUUGCAGGAUCAUGAAUCAUUUUUAAUCUUUGUUUUUUCUAUAUUUUCUAAACUUUCAACAAUGAUCAAACAUAAGUAUUUCUGUAAUCAGAAAAAAUAUGUUAUAAAACAUGUAGUCUUGUAGCGUUCGAAGAAGUAGUACAGCAGAGUUUAAAAAGCAUUUUGGCUUUGAUAGUAGAAAAACUGGGUUAAAUUCCAACUCUGCCACUUAUCAUCUUUGUCUUUGGGAAGUCCUUUAAAGGCCCUGAGUGUCCGUUUUCUAAUCUGUAAAAUGGGAAUAAUAAUACCUUGUAUUACAGGGUGACAGUGAGGGUGACCAACAGAUAAUGUGUAUGAAAGGACCAGAACGGCACCUGAAUGCUAACACACAGAUAUUAAGGGGACCUUUAACGAGGUAGAGAUGCUGACAGAAACCAACCCUGGGGAGAAGACGUUCCCUGUAUUUCUUUUCACGUAAGUCAUUAUCUGAUUUUGAUUUCAGUCUGAGUGCAGGCUUUUGAAAGCACCCAAUUGUGCCAAGAUGGAAUUUACAUGUUGAAAGCAGAUCCACUCAGUAUGAAAGAGGUUAUACAAAAGUAAGUUGCCCCAUGUAGUAAUCAAACUAGAAAAGGGCAGGUCUAUGGAAGCCACCUAAUUGGCAAAAGAAAGUCCAGCCCAGCAAUUAGAGAACACCACCCACACGGUUUGGACGGACCCCACCUGGCUGUUUUCCUACUGCAUGAAAAAAAAAUCCCCAAAACAAUUAGACCAUUUUCUAAAUGGAAUAAAACAUUCCAGCACAAGCAAUAAUUAGGAGAUAACUACCCUCUUGGCUGCUUUCUGCACUCAACCUCUGGCCCCUUGCCUUCCAGCACACCUGAGACAUGCAAUUAUCUCAGAACCACUCUCCAUCAGGAGCUGCCCAUUCACAUGCACCCUGUGGCCUUCCUCCUAGGAGCCCUCUCCCCAUUUAUUCUUAGAGCCAGUUUAGUCCCGUUGGUCCAGAGAAGCCAGAGAGCUCCUUGUCUAAGAGGUCACAUGCCUCCUUCUGCCUCUCGGAAGAACACCUAGGACACCAUCCACUUUUAUUAGCCGUGCCUGGUGACAGCCCUCCUCCAAACUCUGCAACGAGGUAUUCAGAUGUUCUGUUGCUGAGGGUGUUAAGACCGGAUCUUUUGCUUCCCUCCAAGCAGCCUGGGUAGGGGGCAGGGAAUGUCAGUGCAGGAAGGAACUCUCUCCUUCCCUCUACUUUUCAGAUAGGAAACUGAGCUGACAGAGUUUGUCAGUAUCAAAGAGCAAGCCAAGGGCAGAGCUGGGAUUUGAACACAAACCUCCUGACCAUUUGAGUCUAACAGUCUUAGCAGUAUUGCAUUCAGCAUAAUGCGCGAGGGAUAUGUAAAAUGGGCCACUGUUCUACGUCUGGUUAUUUAUUUGCAAUUACCCAACCUCCCAGCAGACUCCAGGCAGUAGACUUAUUAGUGGGGGUGAUCUUUGUUCCUUUUUCUCUGUCUCUCUCUGCAGCUUUAUAGGGCAGCGAGGGCCACAUAACUGAUGACUGUUUCCAUGAAGCUGAGAAACAAGUUUGGAUUCCCCAGCAUGAAUCUCCUCCCAGACACUGCUGCUCCCAUUAGCUGACUUUCUCAGCCUGAAGAUGUGAUGUUCCACUGGACCUCAGGCAAGGCCCCAAAUGCCAAGGCGCUGACUUGGAGAUGACUGGGGAGCAGGGACUGAGAAAGGACAAAUGCUCAGGGCUGUGCGGAGUCCCUGAAACUCAUAGAAUUCACUUUUGGCUUAUGUAUCCUGGCCUCCAAAUAUUUGGAUUCUCUGAAGACAUGGAUUUUGUGGCUAGGUAAUAAAAAUACUAAUAAUGAUAAUAAUAACGGCAAUAACAUCUCUUGGCUGUAUCCUAUAUGGCAGGUCCUAUUUACGUGUUUUACAGAGAUUAGCUCAGUUAAUAACACAACCCUACAAGGUACGUGUUAGGCCUUUUACUGGAGAGGAAACAGGCACACAGAGGUUAAGUAACCUGCCCAAGAUUACACAGAGAGCUACUGGUAACAAUUCAUGGAGUUGUUAACUAUUUGGGGACUUUUCAUGAGAAAGAUAAUGACCAUGAAUAGUGUGGGGCCCACGCAAUUCUGUCACUAGGAGAGAAAGGAGGUAUCUGUUUGGAUCCUCUCAUGGAAGAGAAUUGCAUUUUAGAGCUCAAAGAGACCACCAAAUAAUGAGGCUCUUUCAGCCUGUUGCAAAACACUGUGGGUCCUGCGGGAACUAAAGCCAACAGACAUGGAAUAGAGGGUGCGCAUCCCAUCUUAAAUAUGCAAGAUUAAAUUUACCCAACCCGCUAUAGGUUACCAAUGCUGACGGGUCAGAAUUCGUCAGAGAUGCUAUCUCGGUUCUGGCAAAGUUACCCUUGGCAGCCAUGUGAAUAAGUCUGAGAAUCAACUGCUAAUCUUUUUCCAGUUCCAAUUAGGUUACUAGCCUUGAGACAUCUUUAUUACUCAAUUAUCUUUUUCUUUUCCUCCCUGGUACCUAAACAGAUAGCCUUGAAAAGAGUUUUACUGGGAAACUAGAUGAAGCAAUCAGGAUCACAACACAGCCUUGCUAUUCCACUCUCUGCGCUGAUCCUAUAAAUUUCCCUGCUGCUGCCCUGACCGCUCCGUGAAAUAAUAAUACCAGUUUGCAGAUGUGUCUUCUGCACUUGACUGAGUACCUUUUUAUAAUUUUAUUUUCUGGUGGACAGGCUCAUGUCUUAUCUUUGCAUCUCCAUGGCCUGAUGAAUGUUAAAUGCUCAAUGAAUUAUCUCAAAAGUGAACUGACAGCUUGGGCCUCUUGGCUCCUAAAGGGACCUGAAGGUGACUGGCUUGCAGAAUGUUCUGAGGUUAGAUCUGCUAAGUUACUCUUCCAUUUUGGUUUACAUGGCAUUGAUACCCAUCAAUAACUGGCCCACAACCAUGCCAGCAACGCUGUUGCUGGUGAAAAACAAGUGACGUCAGAGACGAAGGCACACGCAUUGGCCCACGGGCACUGGGCGGUGCUGGCAGAGGAGGCUGCCUGUCGAUUCCUUAAUCAUCUGACUCACGAAAAGAUUGCUGAUAACCAAUUUAAACAAUGCCUCUGCUACUUAGGAGGCAUUGAUUUCAAUGCUGAUGACUGACGAGGAAGAAGGUGGGUGGUGGAUCUUGCACAGAAAGCAGUGAAGGGACUUGCCCAAAAUCAGCCAGGGAAGGGCAAGCAUGGGAACACGGCCGGGUGCUUCUCACUCUCAAGUCUAGUUCUUUAGAGACCAAUCCCCCAAAAGGUGUCCAUGUGUGCUUGGCACUGUAGAGUUUUUGGAAGACUAUUUAACCGAAUCCAUUCUUCCUUCAAUUUCUUGGUUUUUUAUUUUAUUUUUAUUAUUUAUUUAUUUAUUUUAUUUUUAUUUUUUGAGACGGAGUCUUGCUCCGUGGCCCAGACUGGAGAGCAAUGGUGUGAUCUUGGCUCACUGCAACCUCUGCCUCCUGGAUUCAAGUGAUUCUCUGGCCUCAGCCUCCCAAGUCGCUGGGAUUACAGGCAACCAACACCACACCCAGCUAAUUUUGUAUUUUUAGUAGAGGCGGGACUUCACCAUGUUUGCCAGGCUGGUUUCAAACUCCUGACCUCAUGUGAUCCACCCACCUCGGCCUCCCAAACUGAUGGGAUUACAGGCGUGAGCCACCGUGCCGGGCCACUUCCUUCAAUUUCAACUUCUCCCGGCCACCUUCUCCAUUACCUCUCUUCUGAACUCCGAUGGGCUUAUAAAUCCGUAACAACCAGCACUUAAUUAUAACAUGCUCGGCAGCUACCUCCUGGGCCUUGUUUCUCUGACUACAUCAUAAAUUCCAUGAAGGCAAGGGUGAUAUUUUAUUUAAUUACUUCUUAUAGUGCCUAGGACAAGGAAUGGCUCACAAGAGACACAAAAUAUAUAUUUGCUGACUCAUGCAAUAUCCAUAUGUUUGAACACAUAACUGGCAUCUCUGUCUUAAUUCGUGGGCACUUCAUGAGCCAAGUCGCCUCCAUUUUGAAAACCCUUUCAUUUCAGGGUCAGGUCCCCCCAGAGGAAAUUACAAGAUUUGCCCAGGAAUUUCUUUUUUGGGAAUAUAAUAAUUGCUGCUUGUUGACUUUUUUCCUAAUUUUUCCCAUUGAUGUUCAUCUGCAAUUUACUUAUUUUGUUUUUUUUUUUCUCCUCAUUGUUAGCAGAAAAUAGCAAGGAAUAGCAAGAACUAAAAGCUUAAGAAAAAACAAUAUUGGACAAAACCACAACAUUGAGAAAACAUCUAUCCACUGACUUUUUUUUUUUCCUGAAAACUGGGGUUGGCAGAACCCCGUAGUUAUUUGAUUAUUGUGAAAAACAUCAUAUUUUAGCCCUGAAACACCAAGACAUAGGGCCUGUGACCAGACAGGUUAGCAAAUUAGAAUGUCAUCAUGAAGGCAUGGCAUGGACGAGAGGAGAAAGAGCCACUAACGUUUGGUGAGGGGGUAAGAAGCCUAUGGCAGGUGGCAUGGUGGCACCUGGGCUCCAGAGAACAGCAGGGCUUCUUCCCUUAUCGCCACCCCUCCUCGUUUUCUUUUGCUCUGGGCUUUGACCUUGUCUCAGUGGUUUACAAAGCUGAGAAAGGAAACACUCAACUACUUUGGAAAAUUUUGAUUUAAUAGUGCCCUUUUUAGUGAAAAGAAUAAAUGAUAAUGAAAUUGAGUUCCUCACAACGUAGGGAUGUAUCUAUUCUAAUACUUAAAAAUCAAAGAUGGAAAUAUUCAUUAGCUAGGCACUAGAGCAGGAUGAUGGAAACUGUGGUCAUCAUACCAGGCACUUCAGAAUAACCAGGGCUCUUGUUAACACGCACAUUCCCAGCCUUGGCCCAGACCUCUGGGACCAGAAUCCUGGGAGGGGGCCUAGAGUUCUGCAUUUAACCUGCUACCCAGGGGACGCUAAUGCCCACCAAAGUUUGAGGAUCACUGCGUUAGAGGACGCACAGCCAAAA
rnacentral:lncRNA from 1 species